UUUGAUAAGGAUCCUUGGGCAGAAUGGAUGGACCUUCCCACACUUGAUCGAUGCAUUCAACAAUGAUCAAUGAUUCAGCAAUGGAUUUGCCGUUAUGCACCAAAACAGGUACUUUUUUGUGAAUCGGAUUGUACUGUAAAAGAAGCGGUGACUUGUUUUUCACAUCUUCUGCUAUGUAUUCAUAUUCAACUCCUUUCAUUUUAAGGGCCAUUUCCACUCUAUUCACGUAUGGGCUAUACCCCAAUCCUCCCAACAUUCCUCUCUCUCUCUCUCUCUCUCUAAGAUGUGAUUUUUGGUUAUCCUUGAUGGGCACAUCUUAUAGAGUAUGCUUGUUAGAUAAGACAAACUGGAAAAAUAAUUGAAUGGAUAGUUGCAGUUUCUUGUUUUUUAGGGAAAAGAAUUGUUCUAAUUAAUUUGACAUUGGUUUGAAUUUUACUGGAUAGUCUGGAUUGAUUGAAUAGUAUAAAUACGUGUGAAUUAAUAAAGCUUGAAAUUAUGGACAUUGAGUCUACACAUAGACAGCUUUUACUAAUUUUCAAAUGUGUCGUACGAAAUUUCGACGUAUGCAAUGAUCUCAGCCGCCUAAUCUAGCAUAUAUUAGAUCAUAAUAAGGUUAUAUAUCUGGAGUAUUAUUAAAAAAUAAUUAGAUAUAAUCUAAAUUCCUAAUUUAUACUCUAAAAUCAUUUAUUUUGAGAAUUAAACUCGAUGGAUAAAAAUAAUAAAUUUAAUUUUUUAUUUAUUUAUAUAAAUUAAUUAAAAUUCUUAAUUAUUUCUAUAAUUUAAGUUAGUUUAAUUGAUUGGCACUAAAACAAAAAAUAGAUAUUGAGACACUUUAAUGAGGACAUUUUUUAUUUAGUGCCUCUAAUAAUUAUUGUUGGCGCAUUUGAUCAAAUAUGCUAAAUUUUAUAAAUUUAAUGGGGCACAACACUUAAAAAAAAUCAAGCCCAAACAUCUAUAUAUAUAUAAGAAAUACCAGUUUUAGAGCAGUUUUUUUCGAACCAAAUUUGACAGUUUUUUUGAAAAGAUCGUGAUUCAUGUGACACCAUUUGCAUAAGAUGAUGGGAUCGUCAUUUUUAAUUAUCUGCUUGGGAUAUUAGUCAUAUUUAAUUAAUUAGUUGUAUUUACUAGGUGUAUCUUUUAAAGAAAACAUCCAUAUUUUAAAUUAGCACACGUGUGCUGAUGUUAUUAAUUUAAAGCAAAAAAUAUAUAUUAUUUUUUAUAAGCAAAACAUGUAUUGUUAUUUCCACAUAACAAAUAAUGUUAAUUAAUACAAUAAGAUAGUGAAAUCAAUUUAGUAUCAUUAAUGUUUUAGCUAUUUAUUUUUAUUUAUAUGUGUGUAUAAGUAAAAUAGAGAAAGUAACUAUUUUAUGUAAUUUAUUUUUAUUUUUCUUAGUCUGUAUUUAAAUCUUAGUAAUUAUAUACAAACAUACUGAUGUGUGUAUUUUAGCUACUUAGUUUGGUGUGUGUUUCGCCAUGAUUUUAUAUGAUUUUACAUGGUUUGUGACAUUUUGGCGCAGGAAUUAGAUGAAUUGGAGAUGGAGCUUGGAGAUGGAAGGAAUUAGAGAAAAGCAAGCUUUUGAUGGAGAUUGGCGUGGAAAUUGAAGAUUUAGAGAUUUGGGCUUUGGAAAUAUUUAUCUUGUAAUUUAUUUAAGCCAAAUACUCUUUUAAUUAAACUUUUGGGCUUUAGUUUUUGGGAAGGGCCGAAACCUAUAAACAUUA
rnacentral:lncRNA from 1 species